rnacentral:rRNA from 1 species
UACGUAGGGGGCAAGCGUUGUCCGGAAUCAUUGGGCGUAAAGAGCGUGUAGGCGGCCAGAUAAGUCCGCGUGUGAAAACUACCGAGGCUCAACUUCGAGCUCGUCGGUGGAAACUAUUUGGCUAGAGUCCGGAAGAGGAGAGUGGAAUUCCUGGUGUAGCGGUGAAAUGCGCAGAUAUCAGGAGGAACACCCGUGGCGAAGGCGGUUCUCUGGGACGGUACUGACGCUGAGAAGCGAAAGCUGGGGAGCGAACAGG